UGCCGUACUAGGCGAUGACGUGAUGCGCGUCACUGCCGAUGGCGCGAAUGACACGCUGGCGUUCGAUGCGUUGCUCGACACC
rnacentral:tRNA from 1 species